UAGUUUGAUCUGGUGCAGUAAUUUUUCAGAGCAGUAGCUGACCUAGUGCAGUAGUUAUUCAAAAACUUGAUAUGGCGCAGCUUCUCUUCUCUUCUCUUUCUCUUUCUCUUCUCUUCUCUUCUGUGCUUAACAGUAGCAGUGCAUCGCUAAAGGAGUACUCCAUUAACCGUAUUGCAACUUCUCUUCUCUUCUCUGCUUACAAGAGGAGUGUUCUAGUAAUUUCAGUAGUUGAGGUAGCUCUUCUCUUUUCUGAAUGCAGUUAUUGAUGUACAAAGAAUUUUGGAGUACAGUAUGCUGGAGUAAUAUGCUAGGAGUACAAAUAAUUUUGGCCUAAUAUAUGGAUUCUUGUUUAUGUGGAGAGACGCCGGAGCCAGCUGCUAGUGUGCUCUGCUGUUGGCAGUUGUGAACACCUUCUUCUCUUUCUUUGUCCUUGCUAUACGAAUGCAAUUUGUGCUUGUUCAGAAUUGUUGGUUAGAAAAACCUCAACAUUCAUUGUCCAAAAAUGUGGUGUAGAAAUAUGAUUGAUUUUUUAAUGAAAAAAUACGAUUAAAUUGUGAUGCUUUUUUCAUUGCACAUUGUGAAGCUUUAUUAAACAUGACAAAUCCACAAUGAAACUUUUCUUUUAACUGGAUGUUUUCGUGUUAAUAAUUCUAACUUGAGGAGUAGGAGUAGGAGUAGCACUUCUCUCUUCUUCUAACUUGAGGAGUUAAAAUGAUCAUACAAAUAACAGUAUCACAACAAAGAGUUACACAAAUGAUCAUACUCCACACAUGUCAAGUCUCAUCUCAAGCCUCAUCUUCAUCCAUUAGAAGAAAAUAGUCUUAAAUGCUACUGUAAUUGUACCUGCAUCUUCAUCCAUUUGAAGUAUUGCAUCUUCAUCCAUGUCAACUACUGGAUCUUCAUCCAUUUCAUCUGCACGUGGAGUGCAGUUGAGGUCUGGCACAACCAUGUUCUACAUCUUCUUGUUGUUGUUGUCAAAGUGGUCUACUAGUGUUGGAUUACUGUUGUAGGAGAAUUGCUGCUAUCAAGUACUGAUACUGAUGUCAAAUUCUUGCUGCCAUGUCAAGUUGCUGGAGGUGCUGUUGUUGUUGUGCCUCAGAGUAGGUGUCAGACUACUGCUGUUGUCUGUUGUUAUUAACCUGCUGCUCAUGAUGUUGUUAUUAACCUGUUGUUGUUGAUGUUGUUAUUAACAUACUUUUGUUGGUAUUGGUAUUAACCUCUUGUUGUUGUCAAACUACCGUUGUCAUUGACCAGUUGUUGUGACCAUGCUCAGAAUAACGAGAAGCAUGCCCAGGAGAACGAGCCCUCCCAAUCGCUUGUGACCUAGGCGUGACAGAAACACUCAGUCAACAACAAAGAAAACUGCAUGCACCAAAUGGUGCUCCCAGAAAGGCUGGGAUCACAAGGAUAUUGUAUCACAAAAUGAUUAGGUUGAUGAGAUGAAUGUGGGCAUCAACCAACCCCAGCAGGAGCUCCAGGAAUAACCUCAACCUAGGUGUGCCGUGUGCAGCACCGGCACCACCGGUAGUGGCAACUCUAGGACAAGGCCUGGAGGUGGAGUGGAGGAGCGCGUGGGCCUGGAGAUGGAGAGGAGGAGCGCCUGGACCUGGACGUGCACCCGAGAUCGGGAGAGGAGAAGCGCCUGGACCUGGAAGUGGAGGCGCUUGGACCCGGGCGCAGUCUUGGAGGAGGAGGCGCCAGGAUCUGGGUGGAGGUGGAGGUGGAGGGCGGGGCCAAAGGGGGAGGUCGAGGUCGAGGUCGGAGGUGGAGGUGGAGGGCGAGUGCGUGAGCGGAGGCGGAGGUGGAAGACGCUAAGGCCGCGCUUGGUAUCGGUGUAUUUCAAUACAGAGGUAUUUUAUCUACAGGUGUAAUUUACCGGGCAAGUAGCGAUUUCCGGCCGAAAGCGAAACGACGGCCGGAGGCGUGUAUUGUUUACAGCUGUAUUGCUAAUGAAAACGACAAUCCAAUCAUGACCUUGUAUUGUUUAGAAUUUGAACCGAGGCCAUAAAGGUCCAUUUGCCCUUUUUCA